GACGAACGCUGGCGGCGUGCCUAAUACAUGCAAGUAGAACGCUGAAGGAGGAGCUUGCUCUUCUGGAUGAGUUGCGAACGGGUGAGUAACGCGUAGGUAACCUGCCUGGUAGCGGGGGAUAACUAUUGGAAACGAUAGCUAAUACCGCAUAACAGUAGAUGUUGCAUGACAUUUGCUUAAAAGGUGCAAUUGCACCACUACCAGAUGGACCUGCGUUGUAUUAGCUAGUUGGUGGGGUAACGGCUCACCAAGGCGACGAUACAUAGCCGACCUGAGAGGGUGAUCGGCCACACUGGGACUGAGACACGGCCCAGACUCCUACGGGAGGCAGCAGUAGGGAAUCGUCGGCAAUGGACGGAAGUCUGACCGAGCAACGCCGCGUGAGUGAAGAAGGUUUUCGGAUCGUAAAGCUCUGUUGUAAGAGAAGAACGAGUGUGAGAGUGGAAAGUUCACACUGUGACGGUAUCUUACCAGAAAGGGACGGCUAACUACGUG
rnacentral:rRNA from 1 species